GAUGAACGCUGGCGGCGUGCUUAACACAUGCAAGUCGAACGGGAUCCCAGGAGCUUGCUCCUGGGUGAGAGUGGCGAACGGGUGAGUAAUGCGUGACCGACCUGCCCCAUACACCGGAAUAGCUCCUGGAAACGGGUGGUAAUGCCGGAUGCUCCAGUUGGAUGCAUGUCCUUCUGGGAAAGAUUCAUCGGUAUGGGAUGGGGUCGCGUCCUAUCAGGUAGUCGGCGGGGUAACGGCCCACCGAGCCUACGACGGGUAGCCGGCCUGAGAGGGCGACCGGCCACAUUGGGACUGAGAUACGGCCCAGACUCCUACGGGAGGCAGCAGUGGGGAAUAUUGCACAAUGGGCGCAAGCCUGAUGCAGCGACGCCGCGUGCGGGAUGACGGCCUUCGGGUUGUAAACCGCUUUUGACUGGGAGCAAGCCCUUCGGGGUGAGUGUACCUUUCGAAUAAGCACCGGCUAACU
rnacentral:rRNA from 1 species